rnacentral:RNase_P_RNA from 7 species
CAAGUAAGACAGACAAUCGCGGCUGAUUAUAUCAGGUGAGGAAAGUCCGGGCUUCACAGGGCAGGAUGCCGGAUAACGUCCGGUGGAGGCGACUCCAAGGCCAGUGCAACAGAGAUAAACCGCCAGUUCCGCAAGGGACGGGUAAGGGUGGAAAGGCAGUGUAAGAGACUACCGCCCGGCUGGUAACAGACGGGGCACAUGUAAACCCCAUCCGAAGCAAGACCAAGCAGAAGCAUAUGGUGGCCCGCCAGCUUCAGGUAGGUUGCUUGAACGUGCCGGUAACGGUACGUCUAGAUAGAUGAUUGUCCAACGACAUAACCCGGCUUAUCGUUUUGCUUGUUGU